GAGUUUGAUCAUGGCUCAGAUUGAACGCUGGCGGCAUGCCUUACACAUGCAAGUCGAACGGCAGCACGGGAGCUUGCUCCUGGUGGCGAGUGGCGAACGGGUGAGUAAUGCAUCGGAACGUAUCCUGGAGUGGGGGAUAACGUAGCGAAAGUUACGCUAAUACCGCAUAUUCUGUGAGCAGGAAAGCGGGGGACCUUCGGGCCUCGCGCUCUUGGAGCGGCCGAUGUCGGGUUAGCUAGUUGGUGAGGUAAGGCUCACCAAGGC
rnacentral:rRNA from 1 species